rnacentral:rRNA from 1 species
UACGUAGGGGGCAAGCGUUAUCCGGAUUUACUGGGUGUAAAGGGAGCGUAGACGGCGAUGCAAGUCUGAAGUGAAAGGCGGGGGCCCAACCCCCGGACUGCUUUGGAAACUGUAUGGCUGGAGUGCAGGAGAGGUAAGUGGAAUUCCUAGUGUAGCGGUGAAAUGCGUAGAUAUUAGGAAGAACACCAGUGGCGAAGGCGGAUUACUGGACGAUAACUGACGGUGAGGCGCGAAAGCGUGGGGAGCAAACAGG